AUUGAACGCUGGCGGCAUGCCUUACACAUGCAAGUCGAACGGCAGCACGGGAGCAAUCCUGGUGGCGAGUGGCGAACGGGUGAGUAAUAUAUCGGAACGUGCCCAGUCGUGGGGAUAACGUAGCGAAAGCUACGCUAAUACCGCAUACGAUCUAAGGAUGAAAGCGGGGGAUCGCAAGACCUCGCGCGAUUGGAGCGGCCGAUAUCAGAUUAGGUAGUUGGUGAGGUAAAGGCUCACCAAGCCAACGAUCUGUAGCUGGUCUGAGAGGACGACCAGCCACACUGGAACUGAGACACGGUCCAGACUCCUACGGGAGGCAGCAGUGGGGAAUUUUGGACAAUGGACGCAAGUCUGAUCCAGCCAUUCCGCGUGCAGGAUGAAGGCCCUCGGGUUGUAAACUGCUUUUGUACGGAACGAAAAGGUUUCUAUUAAUACUAGGAGCUCAUGACGGUACCGUAAGAAUAAAGCACCGGCUAACUAACGUGCC
rnacentral:rRNA from 1 species